GUGUAAAUCGUCAUUGCUGCGGUUAAAAAGCUCGUAGUUGGAUCUGAGUUGCAUGCAAUGAUUCGCCUUUGGCGUUAAUCAUUGUUGUGACUAUUUGCUGGUUUUCUAUUGAAAUUUCGAUUUCUUUAGUGGCUAGCGAGUUUACUUUGAAUAAAUUAAAGUGCUCAGAACAAGCGUUUGCUUGAAUGGUCGAUCAUGGAAUAAUAAAAGAGGACUUCGGUUCUAUUUAUUGGUUCAGGAACUGAAGUAAUGAUUAAGAGGGACAAUUCGGGGGCAUUCGUAUCCCUGCGCGAGAGGUGAAAUUCGUGGACCGCAGGGGGACGCCCUAAAGCGAAAGCAUUUGCCAAGAAUGUCUUCAUUAAUCAAGAACGAAAGUCAGAGGUUCGAAGGCGAUUAGAUACCGCCCUAGUUCUGACCGUAAACUAUGCCAUCUAGCGAUCCGAUGGGGUAUUGUUGCCUUGUCGAGGAGCUUCCCGGAAACGAAAGUCUUUCGGUUCCUGGGGUAGUAUGGUUGCAAAGCUGAAACUUAAAGAAAUUGACGGAAUGGCACCACCAGGAGUGGAGCCUGCGGCUUAAUUUGACUCAACACGGGAAAACUCACCCGGCCCGGACACCGUAAGGAUUGACAGAUUGAAAGCUCUUUCUCGAUUUGGUGGUUGGUGGUGCAUGGCCGUUCUUAGUUGGUGGAGCGAUUUGUCUGGUUUAUUCCGAUAACGAGCGAGACUCUAGCCUGCUAAAUAGUGACUAGAUUAUUGAGUCUAGUCUACUUCUUAGAGGGAUAAGCGGUGUUUAGCCGCACGAGAUUGAGCGAUAACAGGUCUGUGAUGCCCUUAGAUGUCCGGGGCUGCACGCGCGCUACAAUGGAAGAAUCAGCUGGCCUAUCCAUUGCCGAAAGGUAUUGGUAAACCGUUGAAACUCUUCCGUGACCGGGAUAGGGAAUUGUAAUUAUUUCCCUUGAACGAGGAAUUCCUAGUAAGUGUGAGUCAUCAGCUCACGCUGAUUACGUCCCUGCCAUUUGUACACACCGCCCGUCGCUGUCCGGGACUGA
rnacentral:rRNA from 1 species